rnacentral:rRNA from 1 species
GACGUAGGAGGCGAGCGUUGUCCGGAAUCAUUGGGCGUAAAGAGCGUGUAGGCGGUCCGGUAAGUCGGCUGUGAAAGUCCAGGGCUCAACCCUGGGAUGCCGGUCGAUACUGCCGGACUAGAGUUCGGAAGAGGCGAGUGGAAUUCCCGGUGUAGCGGUGAAAUGCGCAGAUAUCGGGAGGAACACCUAUGGCGAAGGCAGCUCGCUGGGACGUUACUGACGCUGAGACGCGAAAGCGUGGGGAGCAAACAGG